rnacentral:rRNA from 1 species
GACGAACGCUGGCGGCGUGCCUAAUACAUGCAAGUUGAGCGCUGAAGGUUGGUACUUGUACCAACUGGAUGAGCAGCGCACGGGUGAGUAACGCGUGGGGAAUCUGCCUUUGAGCGGGGGACAACAUUGGGAAACGAAUGCUAAUACCGCAUAAAAACUUUAAACACAAGUUUUAAGUGUGAAAGACGCAAUUGCAUCAAUCAAAGAUGAUCCCGCGUUGUAUUAGCUAGUUGGUGAGGUAAAGGCGCACCAAGGCGAUGAUACAUAGCCGACCUGAGAGGGGGAUCGGCCACAAUGGGACUGAGACACGGCCCAAACUCCUACGGGAGGCAGCAGUAGGGAAUCUUCGGCCAUGGACGAAAGUCUGACCGAGCAACGCCGCGUGAGGGAAGAAGGGUUUCGGAUCGUAAAACUCUGUUGGUAGAGAAGAAAGUUGGUGAGAGUGGAAAGCUCAUCAAGUGACGGUAACUACCCAGAAAGGGACGGCUAACUACGUG